rnacentral:rRNA from 1 species
CCUACGGGCGGCAGCAGUGAGGAAUAUUGGUCAAUGGACGAGAGUCUGAACCAGCCACGUAGCGUGAAGGAUGACUGCCCUAUGGGUUGUAAACUUCUUUUAUAAAGGAAUAAAACGAGGCACGUGUGCCUUUUUGCAUGUACUUUAUGCAUAAGGAUCGGCUAACUCCGUGCCAGCAGCCGCGGUAAUACGGAGGGUUCGAGCGUUAUCCGGAUUUAUUGGGUUUAAAGGGAGCGUAGAUGGGUUGUUAAGUCAGUUGUGAAAGUUUGGGGCUCAACCGUAAGAUUGCAAUUGAUACUGGCAGUCUUGAGUACAGUUGAGGUAGGCGGAAUUCGUGGUGUAGCGGUGAAAUGCUUAGAUAUCACGAAGAACCCCGAUUGCGAAGGCAGCUUACUAAACUGUGACUGACAUUGAUGCUCGAAAGUGUGGGGAUCAAACAGGAUUAGAUACCCCAGUAGUC